GACGAACGCUGGCGGCGUGCUUAACACAUGCAAGUCGAACGGUGAACCUCUUCGGAGGGGAUCAGUGGCGAACGGGUGGGUAACACGUGGGCAACCUGCCCCCGGCUCUGGGAUAACUCCAAGAAAUUGGGGCUAAUACCGUAUGUUCACCGCUUCCCGCAUGGGUGGUGGUGGAAAGGGUUUCCGGCUGGGGAUGGGCCCGCGGCCUAUCAGCUUGUUGGUGGGGUAGUGGCCUACCAAGGCGACGACGGGUAGCCGGCCUGAGAGGGUGACCGGCCACACUGGGACUGAGACACGGCCCAGACUCCUACGGGAGGCAGCAGUGGGGAAUAGUGCGCAAUGGGCGGAAGCCUGACGCAGCGACGCCGCGUGGGGGAUGACGGCCUUCGGGUUGUAAACCUCUUUCAGCAGGGACGAAGCGCAAGUGACGGUACCUGCAGAAGAAGCACCGGCCAACUACGUG
rnacentral:rRNA from 1 species